UAAAGAGGAGGAAGGAAUGGGCAACGGUAGGUCAGCAUGCCCCGAAUUAUCUGGGCUACACGCGGGCUACAAUGGGUGGGACAAUGGGUAUCGACACCGAAAGUGAAGGCAAUCUCCUAAACCCAUCCGUAGUUCGGAUUGUGGGCUGCAACUCGCCCACAUGAAGCUGGAAUCUGUAGUAAUCGUGUCUCAAAAUGGCACGGUGAAUAUGUCCCUGCUCCUU
rnacentral:rRNA from 1 species